rfam:Canis lupus familiaris chromosome 16, whole genome shotgun sequence.
GGGGGUAUAGCUCAGUGGUAGAGCAUCUGACUGUAGGUCAAGAGGUCCCUGGUUCAAGUCCAGGUGCCCCCU